rnacentral:rRNA from 1 species
CAGUCGCCGCGGGAAUACGUAGGUGGCAAGCGUUGUCCGGAAUUAUUGGGCGUAAAGGGCUCGCAGGCGGUUUCUUAAGUCUGAUGUGAAAGCCCCUGGCUCAACCGGGGAGGGUCAUUGGAAACUGGGAAACUUGAGUGCAGAAGAGGAGAGUGGAAUUCCACGUGUAGCGGUGAAAUGCGUAGAGAUGUGGAGGAACACCAGUGGCGAAGGCGACUCUCUGGUCUGUAACUGACGCUGAGGAGCGAAAGCGUGGGGAGCGAACAGGAUUAGAUACCCCAGUAGUCCCUGUCUCUUAUAC